rnacentral:rRNA from 1 species
GGAGGAAAGUAGGGGAUCGCAAGACCUUGCGCUUUUGGAGUGGCCGAUGCCUGAUUAGCUAGUUGGUGGGGUAAGAGCCUACCAAGGCGACGAUCAGUAGUUGGUCUGAGAGGACGACCAGCCACACUGGGACUGAGACACGGCCCAGACUCCUACGGGAGGCAGCAGUGGGGAAUUUUGGACAAUGGGCGAAAGCCUGAUCCAGCAAUGCCGCGUGAGUGAAGAAGGCCUUCGGGUUGUAAAGCUCUUUCAGUCGAGAAGAAAAGGUCGCGACUAAUAAUCGCGACUCAUGACGGUAUCGACAGAAGAAGCACCGGCUAACUACGUGCCAGCAGCCGCGGUAAUACGUAGGGUGCGAGCGUUAAUCGGAAUUACUGGGCGUAAAGGGUGCGCAGGCGGCUUUGUAAGUCAGAUGUGAAAUCCCCGGGCUUAACCUGGGAAUUGCGUUUGAAACUACAAAGCUAGA